rnacentral:lncRNA from 1 species
AAACUUGAGAACAAGUGACUUAGGCAAAAAUUAGGGCAUCCCUGUGGAUCACAAAUCAGAGUCAAUCCAGCAAAAGUAGGGACAUGAAAAGUCAAAAGAGGAAUCAUAAGAAAAUCCUCAGCGAGAACAAAAUCAUGUGGCUACAAACGAAACAGAAGGUGCAUGACUAACACUCUAAGAACCUCGUGGGUUCAUUUUCACUCCUAAAUCCCUUUUGGAAGAAGAGCGCUUGUAUCAAAAUAGCUGAACAUAGGACUGGA